AAAAUUUUUCCAGCAUGUAUAGUUCCUGAGAAUUAAUUUCUUUUUUGGUUUAUGAAAACAAAAAUUUAAUAAUUGUUCUGCACAUCAUAUUGCAUCAGAAAAUUAGAUACACUGAAAUUUUGCUUGCAGUAAUAGAAUAAUUUUAGUUUUAGUAAUGUCAAAUAAGAUUGUUUAAAGUACGAGAAAUUCAUGUUAAAAGCAGAUAUUGUUGGGAACACAUUGAGUAAAAAGUCUUGG
rnacentral:misc_RNA from 1 species